UCCACAUCUUCAGGCGUGCUAAGCAAAGUACCACAGGCAGCAGUUUAUUUAAUUGUAUUUCGACAAACGUUCUAAUAAACACGUAAAAUGUGCAAGUGUCUAGCCGGUAACGUAGCGUGCUGCUGCUUCAACUGCGCACUAAGCAUGCUCGUAUCCAUAAUCAGCGCCUUUUUUGUGAUUUUUGUAAUUAUUGGAAUUGUGGUUUACUUCAGUUACUACCACAAAACGGAUAAUGAUAGUGUUAGCAGGGAUCUGCAGGAUGGAGUUAAAAAGGCAAUUGAUAAUGUUCAUAAUGCUAUACGCAAUCGAUAAAACAAUCCUGCAUAAUCUCCACAGAAGCCUUCAUCAAAUUAGCUUAUGUAUGUGCAUCGUGUCUGUUGCCUUUCCAAAGGUCCUCCAAGUUGACCUCCACAACUGCAUUUUCAGCAAACCCACAAAAAAUGAAACAUACAAGAAGUAUAAAUUUAUUGCAUUUUAAGUCUUCUGUACAAAUAUAAGAUAAUUUUUUAUAAAUGUUUAUGUGUGAGUUGCAUAUUUUAUAAAAUGUUCUUCUGAAUCUCUACAAUAAUGUAUUCCAGUUCAAAACAAUAUACAAAUAUAAAUGUGAACUCUGAAAAUUUGAAA